CAACUGCUCAGAGGCAAACGGGUGGGCCCUCGAAAUCCGCUUGCGAGGGGAUUCAGUCGGGAGGUGGAGGGGCCGGACGUCGGCGAGCGACCGAAGAGGCGCUCCCGCGACUGGCCGAUCCCGAUCCGCCCGACGCACUUCCCUUUGCACCGAGGACGCUGCAGCCGGUUCGUGCGCACUACAAGUCGGCCAUGAGGACUUGCGACGGCAGUUGACCAGAUUCGCGGCUCCGCCCGUCGUUUCUGGUUGUUAGCCGGCGAGUCCGAGGCGCGACGCCGGACCGAGGCGAUGGAACCCCAGUCGGUUCCGGCCCAGUCCUCGCCAGACGAGCGGGACGCCUGCGUCAGGGGCGCGCGGUUGCGAGGGGUGCCACGGUCGACCGUGGCCCUCUCCCUCAGCCCCUUGCUGGGCGCGGCUAUGCCCGCGGCGACGACAACAGGGCUGGCAGCGAGUAGGUCGGUCACCCACCCGACCCGUCUUGAAACACGGACCAAGGAGUCUAACAUGUGCGCGAGUCGCAGAGUCUUGAACAGGCUCUCGGGCGCAAUGAAAGUGAAGGCCGAUCAGGUCGGCCGUGUUGGGAAGUCUCGCCCUAGACGGCGAGACCGCACCAACGACCUGUCCCGUCCGAUUUAUCGGUGGGGCGGAGUCAGAGCGUACACGUUGGGGCCCGAAAGAUGAUGAGCUAUUCCUGGGCAGGACGAAGCCAGAGGAAACU
rnacentral:rRNA from 1 species